GACCUUUACUCAAAGAAGCUUUUCCUUCGUUCCGCAAUAUCCGUGUGAUUUCAUUCAGUAAUGGAUCAAUCAUCCAAAACUCACUCAUUGGAUUUUCAUCAACAUCUGCUCCUAAUGGCACUGAGAUUCGAAAAGUUUUGGUCGCAGCAGCUUCAAGCAUCACAGCCUUCAACAUUGACAUCAACUCCAUUUCUGUGGAUGGCACACAGGUUUCAAGUGGAGUAAGCCACAACAUCAGUCUCAUCACUGCAUCCUUCCUUGUGCUGAUGUCAUGGAUCCUGUCAAGCCAGCAAUAGCAUCAUUGCUGAUUACUGUUUGAAUUUGCAUUAUUGCAUGACUGCCAUCACUAGCAUGAAAAAUGACUUCUUGAUUCUUGUCAAAGAAGUCUUGUACAGCGUCAGAUAUACUUACUAUCACAUUUCAUUUUGCAAUUACUGCACAUAUUUAAGACAGUGGAUUAGGUUUAUGUCAAUCUUAACACGUUUCUAGGUUUCACUUUAUUCCAUAUCAUUACAUUACAUUGCAUAGAAAUAUCAGAGAGCAUAUUGUAAAGGGAACAUGUGUCUAAAGUUAAUUAAAGGAACAACACUGCAGGUCAUCAUGAGUCGUGGAACCAACCGUGAA